UCAGCUUAUACCAUAUUUUUCCCUCAGCUCUCUCAUCUGUUUCAAAAUCAAACCUCAUCCUCUCUCUCUCUCUCUCUCUCUCUCAUUUGAAUUCAACUCGGUACUCGGUCUCGCCGGAUAACGGAGAGCUCUUCCUAGGCUUCUCGCCGCAGUGCCUCACCAAGGGAUCGCCGGAGUUCAUCAUGGUACCGGUCGAUUCGGCGUCCUCUAUCAGUCCUUCGCCUAUCGAGCCUCGCAGAAGCAGUGAGUCUCCGACGACGAUUCCGAUUGCAUCAAGAUUAAGGUAGAUUUGGCGGCGAGUAUCAUACGAUGAUUCCGAUUGCUGGUGCGAUUGGCGUGAAGCUCAAAGCAGGAGCGACUCAAACACAUUCCUUUACAGCUGAUCCGUCGUUGUCUACACUACACUAACCACGAAAUCACAUCUUUCUUCACUGGCAAAAUCACUUACUCGAGAUUACUAAUUCCAGAGAUCAAAGCUUUGUUUCCAGCGAUUCCAAAUCCUACUAUGAAUUAUUUCCCUUUGCAUUUGUAGUAGUAGUUUUCGAAAAUCAUGUAAAUUUGGAUAUUGAAGCCUCCAUUAACCAAGAGAUCAUUCGGCCAAGCACAUGUUGAAAUGAGGUCUCCUGUUGUAGGUGACAAAAUCAUGCUUACGGGUUUAGAGUGUCACCAUUGAAAAAUGACAAUAGCGUUACAACAUUGACAGUAGCUUUAUUCAAAUAUUGUAAUAAAUUUUCACAACUAUGGUAGUGGCUUUUUAUAACUAUGGAAGUAGGUUUUUACAUAGCUAUGUCAUUGUUGAAUCCUACAUACUUUUUGUAUCAUUGAAUAUGUUUUCUUUUCUCAA